rnacentral:rRNA from 1 species
CUGAUGUAAAUUAAAGGGCCGCGGUAAUUUGACCGUGCGAAGGUAGCAUAAUCAUUYGUCUUUUGAUUGGAGGCUGGAAUGAAGGGCUGGAUGAAGGACUAGUUGUCUCAUUUUUAUGAUUAAAAUUUUACUUUUAAGUGAAAAGGCUUAAAUAUAGUUGAGUGAAGAUAAGACCCUAUAAAACUUAUAUACAUGUCUAAGGAUAGUCUACUUAAUUAUUUUAAAGGGGGAUACUUAGUAUGUAUUUUGUUGGGGCGACAAGAAUAGAAACGUAUCUGUUUUUAUAAUAGGUUAAUGAUUAUUAGGUAGUGAGCCUUUAGUAGGGAUUAGAAGAACAAGUUACUUUAGGGAUAACAGCGUAAUUUUCUUUGAGAGUCCUAAUCGACAAGAGUAGUUGCGACCUCGAUGUUGAAUUAAAAUUUUCUAAUAAGUGCAGCAGCUUAUUUAGAUAGUCUGUUCGACUAUUAAAAUUUUACAUGAUUUGAGUUCAAACCGGCGUGAGCC